CGUGCCAGCAGCCGCGGUAAUUCGGAGGGUGUGAGCGUAAUUCGGAAUUGCCCGGCGUUAGGCGCAUGCCCGUGGUUUGUUAAGUCAGAUGUGAAAGCCCGGGGCUCAACCUCGGAAUUGCAUUUGAAACUGGCAGACUAGAGUACUGUAGAGGGGGGUAGAAUUUCAGGUGUAGCGGUGAAAUGCGUAGAGAUCUGAAGGAAUACCGGUGGCGAAGGCGGCCCCCUGGACAGAUACUGACACUCAGAUGCGAAAGCGUGGGGAGCAAACAGGAUUAGAUACCCUGGUAGUCCACGCCGUAAACGAUGUCUACUUGGAGGUUGUGGCCUUGAGCCGUGGCUUUCGGAUCUAACGCGUUAAGUAGACCGCCUGGGGAGUACGGUCGCAAGAUUAAAACUCAAAUGAAUUGACGGGGGCCCGCACAAGCGGUGGAGCAUGUGGUUUAAUUCGAUGCAACGUGAAGAUCCUUACCUACUCUUGACAUCCAGAGAACUUUCCAGAGAUGGAUUGGUGCCUUAGGGAACUCUGAGACAGGUGCUGCAUGGCUGUCGUCAGCUCGUGUUGUGAAAUGUUGGGUUAAGUCCCGCAACGAGCGCAACCCUUAUCCUUGUUUGCCAGCGAGUAAUGUCGGGAACUCCAGGGAGACUGCCGGUGAUAAACCGGAGGAAGGUGGGGACGACGUCAAGUCAUCAUGGCCCUUACGAGUAGGGCUACACACGUGCUACAAUGGCGCAUACAGAGGGCAGCCAACUUGCGAGAGUGAGCGAAUCCCAAAAAGUGCGUCGUAGUCCGGAUCGGAGUCUGCAACUCGACUCCGUGAAGUCGGAAUCGUUAGUAAUCGUGGAUCUGAAUGCCACGGUGAAUACGUUCCCGGCCCUUGUACACACCGCCCGUCACACCAUGGGAGUGGGCUGCAAAAGAAGUAG
rnacentral:rRNA from 1 species